CUUCUAGAGAUAACCAAAGUCACUCUUAUCUAAGUGCAGACGACAGUGCAACGUCUGCAGAAGACAGCAACCUGUAGAGAACAAUGGACACGAGACUCUGCACCUCUGCAUGUGCCACUGCAAUAACCUUCUUGCUUAUUACCACUACGUCUGCACAGAUUAGUGAUUCUCCCUAUGUGAGUAAUGGAAGUUUGACAUUUCAGAACCGAACUUUUUAUUUGGAUGGCAAUCCGCUACAUAUUUUGAGCGGAAGUCUGCAUUAUUUUCGGGUCGUUCCGGAAUAUUGGUGGGACCGGAUGCGGAAAAUGAAGGCAUGUGGACUCAACACUCUCACACUUUAUGCUCCUUGGAAUCAACACGAGCCAUACCCCGGUAGUUACAAUUUCAAGGGAAUUCUUAACUUACGGAGAUUCAUCAAUAUGGCCCAGAGAGCGGGACUGUACGUCAUAUUCCGACCAGGGCCAUACAUCUGCUCAGAGUGGGAUUUUGGGGGUCUUCCUGCUUGGCUGUUACGGGAUCCAGAUAUGAAAGUUAGGACAAACUACCAUGGUUACCAAUCACAUGUUAGAAGGUACUUCUCCCGACUUAUCGCCGAAGUUUCAGAUUUGCAGUAUCACAGAGGCGGACCUAUCAUAGCAGUACAAGUCGAAAACGAGUUUGGUUCCUACAGUAAUGACACAAAGCAUUUACUGUUUCUUAAACAGAUUUUGGAAGAGAACGGUAUACAUGAACUUUUCUUCACGUCUGACGGCUUCUACAAUUACACAGAGGGCCUGAAUGGACUGGACAACGCCCCGUUCUAUACAGAAGCGUUACCUACUGUGAAUUUUCAGGAUAUCGCCCAGGGGGAAGAACUUUUCCGUAAAGUCGAAGCGCUUAGUGAUGACUUUCCUUUGAUGGUGACCGAGUAUUGGUCCGGAUGGUUUGAUUACUGGGGUGGCUCGCAUCACACACAGUCUCUUAAUGACUUUGGCAGCACAUUGACAGCUAUUUUGAAUCGCUCCGCGUCGAUAAACUUCUAUAUGUUCCAUGGAGGGACGAACUUUGGCUUUAUGAGUGGGGCUAACUGGGACUUUGAAAAGAAUACACUGAAGACUGACGUCACUUCCUAUGAUUACGAUGCUUUGUUGACUGAAGCUGGUGAUAUAACUGAGAAAUACAGAAUAGCUAGACAGAUCAUCCACGAAAAUAUUCACGGGAUGCCUGGACGUGAAAUACCCUACGACACGCCCAAAGAAGACUUCGGUUAUGCAGGUCGUGUUCACAUCAAACACUACAUGCCGUUAGAAAAUAUCCUAAAAAUAGCACAGAGAAUCCGGAUGAAUAAAACCGUUCCUAUGGAGCUUAUACCAUUACACCCGGUGGACAAUGAUAGCUUCAGUGGACAGAUGUACGGGUACAUCUUAUACCGGGCCAACAUUACCCACGGGGAUAACCUGACCUUCACAGACUUCCCCAGGGACAGAAUCGAGGUAUUCGUUGAUGGUAACUCUGUUGCUAUUCUGGAGGGAAUGGUGGACAAUGUAAACGUUAAUAUCUCACUGGGACAGUACAGUGGUGCCUUUCCGAGAGAAAGGGUGCUUGACAUUUUAGUUGAGAAUAGGGGACGUGUGAAUUUUGGAAUUUUUGGAGCGAGUGUCCUUGACGAACAAUUAAAAGGUUUGGACAACAACUGUUUUUUGGACGGAGAGGUAUUGGAUGACGUCGAUAUUUACCCCUUGGAAUUUGAUGAAGACUUUUACAAACGUCUUAAGAAUCAAACUGAAUGGGAGUCAUACAACAAACAGAGAGAUCUACCCGGGUUUUAUCGGGGCCAUAUGUUCAUCGCCUAUACUCCACUAGACUCAUAUCUAAAUAUGAAGGUUUGUAUCGGGGUCACAUGUUCAUCGCCUAUACUCCACUAGACUCGUAUCUAAAUAUGAAAGUUUGUAUCGGGGUCAUAUGUUCAUCGCCUAUACUCCACUUGACUCGUACUAGUAUCUAAAUAUGAAAGUUUGUAUCGGGGUCAUAUGUUCAUCGCCUAUACUCCACUAGACUCGUAUCUAAAUGUGAAGGUUUGUAUCGGGGUCAUAUGUUCAUCGCCUAUACUCCACUAGACUCAUAUCUAAAUAUGAAAGGAUGGACCAAAGGUUUUGUGUACGUCAACGGAGUUAACUUGGGUCGAUACUGGAAUAAAGGGCCCCAACAAACACUUUUUGUACCGGGUCCUUACCU